GUAUUUUUCCUUUAUUUCACUCUUCCCCCCAUAACAAAUACUGUGCUUACUUCAUUUAGGUUUUUGGAAAAACAAGCCUGGGCGAAGUGACUCAGUCAUUGUGCAGAUGAAAUACCAUGGCAUCUCUUUUCCUGCUUAUAGUACAAUAGCUCUCUGACCUGCUUCCUCUGCCCUCCCUUCCUGAAAAGGAAGUCAUGAUCCCCACAUGGGAAAGCGUCAUGUCAAGGGAAGGCUCUUCUCAACACUAUUUCACUUAUCUCCACAUUGCUUGGUUUGUGCACACUGUUUUGGCGCAGCCGGGUGAGUGUGUCGUCUGCACAGUAAUCACCCAGAACAAAGACUCAUCUGCACGGUCAGUGAGCAGGGGUGAGGGGGAGCAUGUGUGUGUGUGUGCGCGCGCAUGCGCGCACUUGUGUGCUCAUGUGUGUGCCUGGCAAAAUGGCUGGGUUGGGGGCAGCCAAGCAGAGUGAGCCCCAAACCAUAGGCAACCUGCCUUUCUGAAGUUCUUGGGAAACUUUGAUGAAGCCCUUCUGCACAGAUACUGGCUUUCCAUGUGGAAAGACAAUGGGAAAAAGCAUGAUUUAGUAAAUAUUUACCUUAAACAAAAUGAGAAUAAUUAAAUGGCAACUUAAUUACUAUAUUCUAUUCAGUUAUGCUGACUACAGACUAAUUGCUGACUCAGCCCAUUUACAUAUUAAUAAAUGUCUAAGUUCCUCCUUGGUUAAUUUUCUAGGUUUAACCAUAUGCAGGGGAGUUGCUGGGCUUUCUUUUUUUUCCUCCCCUGUCCACUCAGUGCUUGUGCCUAACUCCAGGACUGCCUGCUGCCAUGCACCCAGGCGGCCACCCCACCCCACUGGUGUCUGGUGGGUCUGAGCUGGGUCCACGGAGGGUCUGAGCUGCAGCACCAGGGCCCAGAUGGUGCACGAUCCUGUGACGCCUGGGAUGGUGUGAGGGGUAUUUAGUGGGAUGUGUUUGACAAGGUGUUUUCUUAUUUAGAGGGGAGAAAAAGGCAGAUGGUCUGGCUGUUUCUAAUGACAUUCCCUGGCUGGGUUUUUUAACAGCAGACAUAAGAGGGGCACAAGCACCUGACAUGCCUGUCUGCUCAGCUGCUGGGAGGGAAGGAGAUGCUGACAGAACAGGUCCCACAGCCCUCCCCGUUACCUGUUCUACCUACUUAUUUAAUUUGCCAGGGUGCUGAUGAGACUGAUGGAGGGCUUUGCUUGGGGCUGGUGUCCCCGUUGCCACUGGUCCCUGCCGUACUCUGCCCACACAUCAGUCAUGCAGCUCAGGGGAAACAGCUCUUUCCCAGAAACCCCCCACCACCGCUUGCUCUCCCUGCAUACCGCUCCCUCUGGCCUCACCCUGACUUAUUUUCCUGCUGUCCUGACCCUCUGUUGGCCUAGGUGCCUGUGCCACCAUUGCCAUUUUUGUGCCAUCACUUCCACCCCUGUGCCAGUCUGUCCCACUGCUGGUGUGGGUUGGUGCUGCUACUUGUCCCGCAGCCUCCCUGAAACACCUGGGGUGAUGAUCUGGGGAGGAGGGUUACAAAUGAUGUUUUCUUCUAGGAGGUUUUUAAGCUUGCUACAAUCAGAAGCAGGCUGAUCUAUUUUAUGGUUAGGAGUGUCUACUAAAAUAGAAACAAAUUUUGCAUCUUCUAAAUAGGCAGAUAAUUGUUUCAUGAUGAAGACAGUAAAUACAUGCAGAGGGAUGGCCUCUGCCUUAAACGCAUGCUGAACUGAACUCCUGGUCAGAUAAAUUUCUAAUUAAUUUGCUUGUGCGAGUCAUGGAACAAAAGCUCUGAUUAUAUAUUAGAGCAAGAGGUGCAAAAAUAUCUUCCCACAGGCUUCCCUGCAGUCUUCCUUCUUGCCUGCAAAGGGGCUCUGGGGUGGCCAUCCUUGGUGUCAUGCCACUGCAAAUCCUGGUGGAAGCCACUGAAGUACACUGACCGUCUGCAGCAUCCCCCUCAUGCUGGGACAAACUCCACCACCCCUGUGCCAGCCUGUGGCCAGGGACCCCCUUGUC